rnacentral:lncRNA from 1 species
ACCUCAUGAAAUACAGACCGAUUAUUCUUCCAAAGCUCAUGAAACAUAUUCUCUCUCUUUCUCUUCCAAAUCUCCGGCUCCCAUAGUGUAUCGCCUGAAUCAGUGGGUUCAACAUUUCCGGUAAGGCUAGGGUAGCAUAAAUCCAGGAGAUGAAGAAAACCCUAGACAACGAAUCUUUCAACACCACGAAAGCUUAACGACAUUCAUCCUCACUAUUAACGUGGUUCUUCAAAUGCAUUGUUCUAAUUCCUUCCCAUCCGAAAAUCACCUUCAGACACCACAAUCAACCAUCACUGAUUGUAACACUUCACCCAUGGGUUGUUGCUCCUUUCUUAGUUGUGGCUGAUUACUAUGUUGAUAAAUUCCGAUAGCAGCAAUGGUUUCUGGGUGAAUGUUUCGAUUGUGCUAUCAAGUACGCCAUUACCAGCCUGUGCCACAUUAUUAAUCUUAGAUUUGCGAUUGGAAGUAUAAGGACUGUAGCAUCUUUUUGCGCUGAAGAGAAAGUGAUGCGGGUUUAUAGAGAUAAAUGUGCAGCUAGCUUUUACGCCGGAGCUUGGCUUGUUGAGGCGGGAACAACUACAUUCCCUAAAGUUUUCCGGUCUCAACAACAGCUUUAGUGAACACCAACCCCAACAACAUCGACCAUCUCUCCGAGCACAUCGGCAAUAACAUCCGCUGCCAAAAGACAGCUCCAGUUCCCAGGUAAGAGAUUCAACUGAAAUCCAAAAAUUCAACUUGCUGGCCUUUUUUCACUGAAAUCCAAAAAUUCAACUUCCUGGCCUUUUUCACUGAUGUAGAUAUACCUUUUGGGCAAUGAAGCACCUCUGAAGUCCAACUCGAACACCUUCUUUACUGAUGUACAUAUACCUUUUGGGCAGUGAAGCAUUUCUGAAGUCCAACUUGAAGGCCUUCAAAGGCUUUUUUGUUGGUUCAGGCCCCUUUGAUCACUACACUCACACUACACAAACUCACGUAAAUAUGUUUAUGAAACUCUCUUUAUAUUCAAUAAACAAAGGAUACAAAUAAAAACCUAAUGCUACUCCCUAUUUAUAAUAAAAAUACAAAUAAAGUCACAUGCAUAAAACCCACGAACUCCUCUUUUGUAGCAACAACUCCCAACGUACACUUCUCCAUGACAUCUAUCUCCAACAAACUUGGUCAACACAAGACUAAUUCUAAACCUGUGAUCUGUUUGCUGCUAGAAUGCCCAUUUUCUGACCAGUUCUCGACCCGUAACCCAACUUGACCCGUUUUACGACCCGUAACAUCAAGAUUAAUUCCAACAUUUUUUACUGAUGUAAAUAAUAAAAGAUAUUGUUGGGCUAUGGACUGGGGAUAUUAUUUUGAAUUAAGUAUGGGCCUACCAUGUUUAGUAUAGUGUAAUACAAAACUUAGUGGUACUUAUUAUAUUUUGGCUACAGAGAUUAAGUGGCUGAAUUCUAUCAAGGAAACUUAGUGGUACUUAUUAGUAUGUCAAAAGUUUGUUUCCAUCUUAACUCAAGUUUUUAAGUUGUUGAUGGAUUAUCUGUUCACAAUUUCAUUUCAUUUGUUUAAGAACCAUACAAGAGUCAUAUUUAAAAAGUGACAUCAGUCGGGAUACCCGCCGCAACGCGCGGGCAAUUCCCACUAGUUAAUAUAUGAUGCACUAAACCAUGACCCGUGUUAGUAACUAACUUUAAUAAUCGUGUUCGGGUGUAUAAAACUAUGACUCGUUGUUACCCGAGAACCAACACAAAUAGUUUUCCAAAUAAAUGUAAUAAAUAUAUAUUUUUAAGAAAUAAUUAAUCUGAUAUAAACGACCGUGUUUUUAUUACUUGAAAACGCAAUAUGGUUUAACACUAAAAAAAAAAAACCAUGUACAAAUCUGCUUGAGAUAUAAUUAUAUGCUUUUGUGGGGUUUUCGAUUACUUAGAAUUACAUAAAAAAAACAUAUAUCUAUUCAUGCUCUUUUUUUUAAUCCAAAAUUCGAUGAACUACGUAUUUGAAAAUAUAUGCAUAUUCUUGGAGUUCAAAUCUUAUAAUAUUUAACAAGGUUUCCUAGCAAAACAUAUAAUAAAACUCAUUAUAAAAUCUUGAAGUUGAUUAUCAUAUGUUUGGGUCUACUAAAAUAUAUAUAAUUUUAGAGCUACAAAAGAAUAUAUAUCUAUAUAUAUAGUUCAUAUUUUUAGCGUUUCCAAAUUCCCUUUACAUGUCCAAGAUUCUUCUUCAUUAAGCAUUUACCAAAUCCAUGAACAUAUUAGUUGGUACAUUAAGUUUUUCUCCCCAAUUAAUAAACAAAUCACUAACAUACAUACGUUUGAUAAGCCUCAUGACUGAUAAAAAUAUGCCAUCUAGUGUUUUAGUAAAAUAUAGCCAAGUUAGCAAAGGUUUUUAGUUCGUAUUUUUAACAACUCUAUACAACUACAACCGUUGGGUGAAUCCACACAACAUAGCACUAGAUUAUAAAAGAUCUAAAGUUAAGGUAGUGAUUCUUACUAAAAGCGAAUAACGAUGAAGCAUGAAAGCUUGCAAAAACACUUGAUCUUUCUUGAAGACACCCUAAAAUAUCCUUGGAAACCUUGAUCUUUUUCUUAGAUUAUGAAGGAGCACUUGACAAAUUUAAUUGUAUAUGUAUGUGUGUUGGUCGAGAGAUAAGAGGAAAAAGAGAGUCUGAUGUAAUGUUGUUGUAGGUGACAAAAAUUAAGGAUAUAUGGUUUUGCAAAUGGGAUCUAAAAUAUCUAAGCCUUACAACACAAUU